GAUGAACGCUGGCGGCGUGCCUAAUACAUGCAAGUCGAGCGAACGGACGAGAAGCUUGCUUCUCUGAUGUUAGCGGCGGACGGGUGAGUAACACGUGGAUAACCUACCUAUAAGACUGGGAUAACUUCGGGAAACCGGAGCUAAUACCGGAUAAUAUUUUGAACCGCAUGGUUCAAAAGUGAAAGACGGUCUUGCUGUCACUUAUAGAUGGAUCCGCGCUGCAUUAGCUAGUUGGUAAGGUAACGGCUUACCAAGGCAACGAUGCAUAGCCGACCUGAGAGGGUGAUCGGCCACACUGGAACUGGGACACGGUCCAGACUCCUACGGGAGGCAGCAGUAGGGAAUCUUCCGCAAUGGGCGAAAGCCUGACGGAGCAACGCCGCGUGAGUGAUGAAGGUCUUCGGAUCGUAAAGCUCUGUUAUUAGGGAAGAACAUAUGUGUAAGUAACUGUGCACAUCUUGACGGUACCUAAUCAGAAAGCCACGGCUAACUACGUG
rnacentral:rRNA from 1 species